GCUGCAGUUAAGCUCGUAGUUGAUUUUAUAAUUUUCCGUGUGCUACUGUAUUUAAAUUUUGGUGCUUAAGGCAUGCUUUUGUAGUGUUUAACAAAUUAUUGUAUUGCUACAAGGAAUUUUUUCCGUAAGAUAGAAGCAGAAAAAGAUAUAAAUAAUUUGAAAAUAAAGGUGAAAUUUUGUAUUUUUGAAAGAUUUACAAAGGCGAAAGCACAUGUCAAUAAUGUAUUUAUUUGUAAUGAACGAAGGUUAAGUUUUCAACGACUAUUAGACACUGUCUUAGUCUUAACAAUAAACGAUGCCGAUUCUGAUUUAACAGUUUUUUUUGCUGGCACAUAAAAGAAAUUUUAGUUUAUGGGCUCUGGGGGGAGUAUGGUCGCAAGGUAUAAACUUAAAGAAAUUGACGGAAGGGCACCACCAGGCGUGGAGCCUGCGGCUUAAUUUGACUCAACACGGGAAAUUUUACUAAAAUUUAACAUUUUUACGAUUGACAUUUGAUUGAAUUUUCUUGAUAACAUGGUGAGUAAUGCAUGGCCGUUUUUGGUUGGUGGAUCAAUUUGUCUGGUUAAUUCCGAUAACGAACGAGAUCAUAAAUAUUAUGUUAAAAUUGUUUUAUUUUAGUAUUACAUUAGCAGUAUGAAAGCUUAGUAGGAUUAUGGCAAUAACAGGUCAGUGAUGCCCUUUGAUUUAUUGGGCUGCACGCGAGUUACAAUGUAUAAAAAAGUUAGGCCUUUGAAAGAAAAACGGAAAAAUUUUGUACUUUACAGGGACAGAUAUUUGUAAUUAUAA
rnacentral:rRNA from 1 species